UACGUAGGGGGCAAGCGUUGUCCGGAUUUAUUGGGCGUAAAGAGCGUGUAGGCGGAUUUGUAAGUCAGGGGUGAAAUCCCGGGGCUCAACCUCGGAACUGCCUUUGAUACUGCAAAUCUCGAGUCCGGAAGAGGUGAGUGGAAUUCCUAGUGUAGAGGUGAAAUUCGUAGAUAUUAGGAAGAACACCAAGUGGCGAAGGCGGCU
rnacentral:rRNA from 1 species